AAAAUUGAAAGAAAAGAAAAUGCUUGGAGUGUUCAUCUGUUGCACAAGUAUCUUGUGUCUUAAGUUCCUCUUCCAUUGCAUUUUAAAGGCUUCUUUCCAACUCACCUAACUUAUAAAGGGAAAUUUCAUCAGGUCAAAAGAAACAAAUUUCACAAUAUAUUCUCUACAUAAAAAAUUGAUCAAAAGGGUAAAAGAACAAGUUAAUAAAGUUUUCAUUCUCUUUUCUCUCUUUUCACUACCAGU
rnacentral:misc_RNA from 1 species